rfam:Pan troglodytes isolate Yerkes chimp pedigree #C0471 (Clint) chromosome 6, whole genome shotgun sequence.
CCAAAGGCUCUUUUCAGAGCCACUCAGUCUUCCCAAAGAGAACUGG